CCCUUAGAUGUUCUGGGCCGCACGCGUGCUACACUGAGUAAUUCAAUGGGUAAGGGAACGCUAGAGCAUUACCUAAUCUUGAAAUUUGCUCGUGAUAGGGAUCGACGGUUGCAAUUUUCCGUCGUGAACGAGGAAUACCUUGUAGGCGCAUGUCAUCAUCAUGCGCCGAAUACGUCCCUGCCCUUUGUACACACCGCCCGUCGCUCCUACCGAUUGAGUGAUCCGGUGAGGCUCUGGGACCUGGACGGAAAGAGCGUUUCGCUUGUUCUGUUUGGGAAACUUGGUCGAACCUUAUCAUUUAGAGGAAGGAGAAGUCGUAACA
rnacentral:rRNA from 1 species